UACGUAGGGGGCGAGCGUUGUCCGGAGUUACUGGGCGUAAAGGGCGUGCAGGCGGUCCAGCACGUUGAGAGGAACAGUGUCCGGCUUAACCGGGCAAGAUCUCUGAAAACGACUGGACUUGAGGACCAGAGAGGGAGAUGGAAUUCCGGGUGGAGCAGUGAAAUGCGUAGAUAUCCGGAGGAACACCACAUGCGAAGGCAGUCUCCUGGUUGGUCCCUGACGCUGAGGCGCGAAAGCCAGGGGAGCGAACGGG
rnacentral:rRNA from 1 species